ensembl:lncRNA novel transcript
ACUGAAGCAACGGAUGGAUCACGUGACCUAGACAGAUCUCAAAAAUGGGAGACCACAUGCAAAGGAAACUACGUUUUCACAACACAUGGUUGGAGAGGUCAAAGAAAAUGUGAUGUAUUACUUUCAGUUUUAUCAUCAGCGGGACCAUCUGGGGCUAGUGGUGGGGCUCGAAGAAGGAAGAAGAAAAUAAAGAAGAGAAUCAGAUCCCCAAAGUAGAGAGACUGAAUUACAGCAAUGACCUCGACUUGCAUUUACUAGACAAGGACAUUGAGGCUCAGUAAGGUGAGAUGACUUGCUCCAGAUCACACAGGGUUGAAGCUGAAAUUUUAAUCUAGAGUCCAGUUCCAGAAUCUGUGCUUAUAAACUGUGCUGUGCUGUAUUUGCUUUAAGAAUAUAAGGGUCAUUUCCUGCUUGAAUAAUCAAGGAAGGCAUGAUGGAAAAGUUAGGGGCAUCAUAAAACCCAAAGACAAUUCUGAUCAUAUUUUUACUUCAACACUUCUACAGGAAAGAAAGCCUUCCCAUCACUAAUAGUGAGUUCUCUGGCAGCAAGCCUCAGUCAUUGCAGCAGGAAUACUGCUUAAAUAUUAUACUGUUUUCGAACUAUAAAUCAAGUAUGAAUGGCUGAUGGAAAGCCGAGGCUAGCAAAUAGAUGAUAAACCAUGUUACCAUGGGAGGUACAGAUUCAUUUUUAAUUUUAGUUUCUAUGUUAUCCCCAAGCAGCUUUUUUGUAUAUUGAUACGGAAAAUAAUGCCAUCUAUAUGCUGCACAACAGAAGUGUUGAUUUGUUUCUGUACCCCUUGGCUUGCAUCCCUGUUGUCAUCACCCAGCUGAUAUCAUUGUGACAUUUUGACAUUGCCUUGUGACACAGUGACCUGGUGCUUCCAGGAGCCUAGAAGGACAAGUUGACUAAGACACAUGGUGCAUUAGGAAGCAAUGAAGCAAUUCAUUACGGCUACAGAGAGAGUCUGCUCUGGAGACAAGAAUUCUUAUCUAAAGCACAAAAUACUCUCGAUUCUAUUUGCUGUUCUGCUACUGAUUUACUAUGAGAUCUGUAACAAAUAAUCUCAAUUCAUUUGUAACUUAGAUUUCCGUCUGUAAAAUGGAAAUGACCCAACAUAUGUGAUUUUUUUAAAAUCCUAGGGCAGUGAUUGCAUUUGCAACCCAUUCUUGCCAAAGAGAAAUUCGGAAGCACACUUCAAGGAACUAAGUUCAGUGAUAAUCACACUUGAUUGAUUUUCAGUACUGUCACAGUUUGAGAACUAUUUAUUGCCCUGAUUUGCUCUUUUCUCUGCCCUGUAUUAAAGAUCUUGCAUGACAGUU